GGAGGGCAAGUCUGGUGCCAGCAGCCGCGGUAAUUCCAGCUCCAAUAGCGUAUAUUAAAGUUGUUGCAGUUAAAAAGCUCGUAGUUGAAUUUCGGGAUCAAUUUAUUGGUCGUGCCAACGGUACGCACUGGUACAAUUGGUUUCUCCCUUCUGACGAAGCAUGAUGUCAUUAAUUUGACGUCGUGGGGAAUCAGGACUGUUACUUUGAAAAAAUUAGAGUGUUUAAAGCAGGCUUUGGCUUGAAUACAUUAGCAUGGAAUAAUGAAAUAGGACGUUUGAUCUUAUUUCGUUGGUUUCUAAGAUCGACGUAAUGAUUAAUAGGGAUAGUUGGGGGCAUUAGUAUUCAAUUGUCAGAGGUGAAAUUCUUGGAUUUAUUGAAGACUAACUACUGCGAAAGCAUUUGCCAAGGAUGUUUUCAUUAAUCAAGAACGAAAGUUAGGGGAUCGAAGACGAUCAGAUACCGUCGUAGUCUUAACCAUAAACUAUGCCGACUAGGGAUCGGAUGAUGUUAAUUUUUUAAUGACUCAUUCGGCGCCUUACGGGAAA
rnacentral:rRNA from 1 species